GGGGCUGUUGUGCGGCGAUGGAGGCGGUUGCAUGCGCCGAGCACGGAUCCCUCUGCCUUCUGAAGACCGGUGUCCGCGAUGGCCCAAACCAGGGGAAGAGUUUCUACGUGUGCGGGGCGCAGGGCCCGGCGCCGUGCGGCUUCGUCCUCCCAGCGGAUAUUCCUCCUUCGUACUGUUUGAUCCAUGAAGGGUACAUGGUGGAGCUGCAAAUCCUGGUGCAGCAGCAGCAGCACAGAGAUGAGUACCAGUUGUUUUACCGAUGUGUUAAGAGUAAGUUGAAUGGGAAGAAAUGGUGUGGAAGUGUGCCAUGGCAGGAUUCAAAAGCUACCAAAGCUUCAAAAAAGUUAGAAUCACAGCCCAGCAAGGCACCCAUCUUCAAUCCCAGUGGCCAAAGAAAUCCAUUCAAAGUGAUAGACAAGAAUUGUGAAGCAGCGUCCUGGAAACAAAUUAAGCAAGGCAAUGGAGAGGAAAGUAAAGCAAAAGGAGUUGAAGUGGAGAAGGAUAGUGUGGUGGAGUCACAUAAAGAAAAGAAGUCUACCUCUGAUUCCUCCACAGAGAAGGAACAUCUAGAAGGGCUGAAAACUGAAAAGAAAGAAUCCAAGAGAUGUAGGAGUGGUCCAGAACUUAAGAAAAGCACAGUAUCUGAAUCUGAACUUUGUCUUUCUGAGACUUGGAAAUGGAAAAACACGCAUCAGGAUAAAGAGAAGUAUGGAGGAAGUGGCACGGAAUCCAAGAAAUCUGAAUGUGUGGAGAAAGAGCCAGGUGGGAGAUCCGAACUCUUCCCAGUAAGACUUGAAAAGCUAAGUACAAGUAGCAAGCCUCUAGAGAAAGAGCAGUUCAGGGAUAAAAGCUUAAAAACCUGUGGGGAUAGAGAAAACAGAGAGAAAGAAUACAUUGGUGGGAAGAAUAGAGAGAUGAAACCAGUACCUAAAGAAAACACAACCACCACAACAGUACCACAAGUAGCAUCACAACACGCUCUCCCAAAGCAAGGAACAGGGGCAGCACCAUCCAAGACACAAGUCAGGCCAAGCCUGGAACAGCCUGCUGAUGAAGUUUCUGACAGUGACAGUGAUGAAGUAGUACUUGUUUAUUCCUCAUUGGAUGGAGGUGAACCUGAGAAAUCAGUUGAAGGUUUGCAACCUUCAAAUCCAAAAGGGGUUCCUGCAGGAACAUCAGGGAAGAGUACCCAGGAGACAUCUUUGCUAGGAGCUGCAGCAUCGCUUCACAUGGAAGGACCCCAAGACCCUAAGGCUCUUCGUAACCAUCUUGAAGUCCAGCUAAGGCAGAAGAAGAAUACCUUGGCUACAGUGAACAUUCAGGUACUGCCAGAUAAAGGACAACGGUUAGUAAAGCAAGUGCAGGAUUUGGAAGCUGCACUCAGUGCUCUUAACAUUUCAACUACAGAUACUUCAGAAAAAGGGGAGAACAGUGCAAGUGGUGGCCAUCGUGAGGAACCUUUGCCUAACUCAUUCAGCAGACCAGGUGGUACGAAGCUGAUAACACCACUGCCUCUCGGGGAUCAUAAGGCAGGGACCUCUUCAACCUCACACAGUCACCCCCCUGCUGCUACCUUGGGUUCCAGUGAAUAUCUUGGCUGUGGUUCUGGAAUGAACUCUGGCGUGCAGAAUCUGUAUGGAGGAAGAAUGACAGAAGACCGAAUCAGGGCCGUACACAGUGCAACAAGUGAUGCUAUUAAUCAUCUUCACAAAUCUCUAGAAUCCUGUCCAACAGAGCAGACAGUAGCUGAGGAUCCCUCUGGUUUGAAAGUUCCAUUGCUGCUGCACCAGAGACAAGCACUUGCGUGGCUGCUCUGGAGGGAGAGUCAAAGGCCAUGUGGAGGAAUUCUGGCGGAUGACAUGGGCCUGGGGAAGACUCUAACAAUGAUUGCUCUAAUUCUGACCCAGAAGCAAGUGAAGACAGAGAAAGGAAGCAAGAAAUUAGAAAUGUGGCUGUCCAGAAACGAUUCUACUGUUAUCCCAUCAUGCGGCACUUUGAUCGUUUGUCCUGCAUCCUUGAUCCAUCACUGGAAGAAAGAGAUUGACAGACAUGUGGGCUUUGGAAAACUGAAGGUCUACUUGUACCAUGGGCCAAACCGAGAUAAACACGCAGAGGUGCUCUCUGAAUAUGAUGUUGUUGUCACAACCUACAGCCUUCUCUCUAAGGAGGUUCCCACAAGCAAAGAGGAGGGGGAAUUCCCUGCUAAGGACCAUGAAGUGGGGAGUGGGUCAUCUCCCUGUUCCCCUCUGCUCAGAGUAGCCUGGGCUCGAGUAAUAUUGGAUGAAGCUCACACUAUUAAAAAUCCAAAGGUUCAAACCUCCAUAGCUGUGUGCAAACUGAGAGCCAGUGCCAGAUGGGCUGUCACUGGGACACCAAUACAGAACAACUUACUGGACAUGUACUCUCUUCUGAGGUUCUUACGUUGCUCUCCUUUUGAUGAAUACAAGGUGUGGAAGUACCAGGUAGAUAACAACACUAAGAAGGGAGCAGAUAGGCUAAGCCUUUUAACCAGGAGCCUCUUAUUACGGAGAACUAAGGACCAGCUGGAUCCAUCUGGAAAGCCCUUGGUAUCUCUGCCACAGCGUAGCAUGCAGUUGCAUCAGUUAAAACUUUCAGCAGAGGAGCAGUCUGUAUACAGUGUGCUCUUUGCAAGAUCCAGGUCAACUCUACAGUCCUACCUAAAGAGGCAAGAGCAGAAAAAUGAAGGCAGAGAGCAUGCUGGGAGUAACCCAUUUGAGAAAGUUGCACAAGAGUUUGGGUGCAGUCAAAAGGAAUUUCUAGCAAGUUCCCAAAGUGCUUUCCAAGUCUCAAGUACUGUCCACGUCUUGUCUAUGCUGUUGAGGCUCCGUCAGUGCUGCUGCCAUCUCUCCUUACUGAAAAUGGCUCUGGACCAAGUUAAUUUGACCAGUGAAGGCCUUUCUCUCUCCAUUGAGGAACAACUCAGUGCUUUGACCCUGUCUGAGCUCCAGGCUCCUGAUUCCAAGUCAACAGUCUACCUCAAUGGCACAGCUUUUAAAACAGAUCUCUUUGAAAUCACCAAGGAGAGCACCAAGGUAUCUCACCUCUUAGCUGAACUGAAAACUAUUCAGAGUCACUCAGAGUCUCAGAAAAGUGUUGUUGUGUCUCAGUGGACGAGCAUGCUGAAAGUUGUGGCUGUGCACCUCCAGAGAGUAGGGCUGAAGUAUUCAAUGCUGGAUGGCUCUGUUAAUCCUAAACAGAGAAUGGAUCUGGUAGAAGAGUUCAAUAACAAUCCCAAAGGGCCUCAGGUAAUGUUGGUCUCUUUGCUGGCUGGAGGUGUUGGCCUGAACUUGACUGGAGGAAACCACCUCUUUCUCCUUGACAUGCACUGGAAUCCUGCACUCGAGGAACAGGCCUGUGACCGCAUUUAUCGAGUGGGGCAGCAGAAAGAUGUUGUGAUACACAGGUUUGUCUGUGAAGGAACGGUAGAAGAAAAGAUCAUACAACUCCAGACCAGGAAGAAAGGUCUCGCCCAACAGGUGCUGUCAGGCAAAGGGGAAACCUCGAAGCUCACUCUGGCUGACCUCAAAACUCUCUUUGGCAUCUAACUGUCCUUUGCAAUAGAAACGGAAAGUGAUAUUAUACCUGCAGACAGGAGGAACACAGGCCUAAAGGAAACAAGAACAAGAGAGACGAGUGUGAGGGAGGCAAGAUCAGAAAGAAAAGGGUUGGCUUGAAGAAAUCAGGAAAAAAAGUAUUUUUGAGCAUAAUGGUAAGGGAAGGUGAUAGCAACUUUGGAAUAUGUCAGUAACAAAAUGAAGGAAGGAUGUAGAGGAAUACUUCUUUCAUUUUUGUGAAAGGGGACUUUUUAUCUAAAUGAAGAUGCAGCUUCUCUACUCUGCCCAAAAUGUUUAUUCAAGCAGAAGAGUUGAUUUUUCUUAUGUUCUUAUGAAACAGAAAGGAUCCUGAAUUCCUGAUGAUUUAGUUCUUCUAAGUAUUCAGUAGUGUAAGGUUUCUCAGUGCAAACCUUUCAACAUGGAUUUAUUCUUUCUUAAUUUAUGCUCUUUUUUUCUUCAGUAGGAGAUGAAUUUCAAAUCCUGUAUCUCCUAUCACAAGCAAUAUGUGCUGCUGAGUGAUGUUUCUAGGCAAAUAUUCUUAGUUGCUAGCAAAAAUUCCCUGCUUCCAUCUCCCCCUUCUUUGUCCAUAACCACUAUAUAUUCUGCUUUCCAAUUGAUUAUACAUUUAUCUGGGACUUAGCACAGUGCCUGUGAGUUCCCUACCUAACUGGGGUCUUUGAAUACUGGAACAUACAUUCAGUUCAACGAAACAUGAAGCUGUGGACUAACUUAACAAAACUAUUUUGAGUUGGAAGGGCAGAGGGAACCAAUGUGAAGAGGGGAUGGGGUGAGGGGAUGGUGCCCAUCCAGUGGCGUCCCGUUGGGAGUCGCGUUGUGAGGCAGCGCGUUGGGCCCCGCGCAGGGCCGAGAUGGGCCGCCUGGAAACUGUCAUCAGCGCGUCAGGAUGGCCGAGCGGUCUAAGGCGCUGCGUUCAGGUCGCAGUCUCCCCUGGAGGCGUGGGUUCGAAUCCCACUCCUGACAAGUGUUUUUCUUUUUUGCCUUGUUCCGGCGGGUGUUCGGUUGUGGGGCCGCGAGACCGCGUCGUUACGGAGGACGGGCGGAAGGCACCGCCAAACCGAGGAGGCAAGGGCGAGGGGUUGCGCAGAGAAGCGGCCAUUUUGCACCGCGGCGAGCGGGCGGGGCCGGAAGGGGGUCUCGCCGAGGACACGCGUAAUGCCCGCGCAGUUGUUUCCGUCGUAGUAGGUGAUACUGGUGGGAAAGGAGAAGAUACGUGAGGAACCCAGCUUAGUGUUCAUGCCACCAGCUGAUGAAGAUACGGGUUGAAUUCAGCGAUGUCCUCCUUUACAACUUCUUUUCCACGGGAUGGAAGCUGCCCUGAAAUGAUCUACGUCAACCGUGAGACAAUACAGUGAAGGACAAGCACAGUAACCAAAGACUUUAGCAAACAAGUAAAGUCACAAUUUUCCUGAAGCCAACGUUUCUUUGGCAGCAGAGGAUGCUGUGAAGCUGCUGAAGCUCUGCAAGUAAGAAGGAAAAGAGACCUCUGGGCUCAACUCUUUUCUGCCACCAGCUGUGAAGGACAGAAUCCUUUCAAGAUGCCAGGAUGAGCCAAGAGACCUGAACCACUAGCAAUAGAAGUGAAAGAAGUGUCCUUUGCAGAAGAGAUCUGAGGCUAAGAGAGGACACUACCACCUCAUGGGCUGUGUGAGGCUGAUGCCAUUUAGAGUAGCCAGAAUUUCUACUAAUGCAAACCAGUGUGAUUCUGGAGAAGGCUGAAGUGACUACAGUGACUUCAGGAGUUGAAGAGAGUCAUAACUACGUAUUUUUGAUCGAUUAUCCUGGGUAUAUGAAAGAGGGAAAGGGAAACUACAGAACAGAAAACUGCUGUGUUGAAGUUGCUUUAGUCUACCUCCAGGAAGGAGAAAACAUGCCAGAGCCAGCAGGAGCUUCUGCCACUCCUGAAGUCACAGGAGAGUCUAUGAUUAGUAACAUCACCCCCAAGUCUGGAAAAUGGGGAAGACUUAGUGUGCUGAAAGGCUGCCAGAAGAGGAGUGCCUGAUGCCUAUUUCUGGAGAUGAACUAUAAAAGGAAAAGGCAAGAGGAAGGAGAGUGUUUCAGAUGCUAAAAUUUAUCUCUGUGACUGCAGUAACACCAGCAGCUUGGGUUAAGAUUGCGGAAGUGCUAUCUUCUUGUAUGUCCAAAACCUUCUCCAGCAUGAGGCAUGGUGGCGGGAUGAAAGCUAUGUCGUUAGGUCCUAGUUCAUCUCUAAUCAGCUGGACUAAAUCAUAUUCACACCAGUAACUUCUAAUAAUUGUUCACAUUCCUUUUGUGAACUUCCUUUUACUUGGUUUUCAAGGUUUUUGCAUCAGAUUUUCAUAGUCUGCAUUUACCGAUCAUAUCAACAGACCUCUCUUCUAAAUGCUCAUUCAAGGUCCCUUGAUUUUCUACAGCUAGAAAAUCAUCUCUCCAGGAGUUCUGUUGGUCAGCAGGGCUUCUUUAAAAUUCAACUCCUCUUAGUUUCAUUGAUAUUUCCUCUCUCUUGAAUGUCUAAAAAGACAAUUAUGUUCUUCUGCAUGCCAUCAGGACUCUCUGAGGUGUCUCUUCACCAGGAGAUGGACAAUCCUAGUCUAAUAAUUGUUUUUAUGGUGAUCACUGUCACCACAUGCUAAGUAUAUGCCAGGAACACAUUGCUUACCCAUGAGUCUGAGCCGCCAGUGUUGCUGGUGGCGGCACCAUGUUGGAAGAGAUGAACCCCCAUUAGUGAGAAGCCCAUUAGCACUGGCCCAACCACUGUAUUUUUUAAUGAACAUAAAGAAAACCAAACCUGAAUAGAGAGAAGAACAAAUGACAUCAAUCAAAAACAAUUAUUAUAGGGCUUUGGAAGAUGCAGAUGAAAAAGUACAGCUGGCUAAUUAAAUAUAUGAUUUGGAAGACCACCGCUUGAGAAAACUUGACCAAGAACUUGCUAAAUUUGAAAUGGAACUUGAAGCAGACAAUGCUGGAAUCACAGAAAUAUUAAAGAGACAAUUGGAGCUGGAUACAAUACAAGCUCUUCUCAACCAUUGGCAUUGUAUAACUUGGGUUCUUUAUCUGAAGGGUUUGAGGCUGGUGUGAUUACCAUGGCAGCAGCUCAAGCAGUGCAAAUCACAGUGCAAAUGAAGGAAGGAAGAAGAACAUCCAGUCUAAAAGCCAGCUAUGAAGCAUUUAAGAGCAAUGAUCUUCAGCUUGGAAGAGAAUUUUCAUUAUCUAGAGAUUCAACUGGAUAUUCAUUGUCAGCGCUGGCAUUUAUGUUAACGCAAACAUUACAUUCAUCAAAGAAAGAUUACAAAAUGAAAGAAGAAGCAAAAAUAACAAAUCCUAAAGUCGGCAAUCCUCAUCAUCUUCCUCUUCAUCCUUUCUGUCAUUGUGUUCUUCUUCAUCUGCACUGGCACAAGAACUUUCCCAGCAAACAGCAGUAAUACCAGAGCCUGAUUCUAACAGCUGGGUUGACUGGACCUAUGAUCCAAAAUGAGCCACGCUACUGCAUCUGUAAUCAGGUGUCCUAUCGUAAAAUUGCUCCAUUGAGUGGUUCCAUUAUGGAUGUGCUGGACUGAUAGAAGCAAGAGAAGGGAAAUGAUACUGUCUACAGUGUACAGCUGCAAUGAAGAGAAGGGGCAGUAGAAGUAAAUAAAUGUAUUCAUCUGCAAAAAAAAAAAAAAAGCAUACUAAAGAUUUUACAGGAGACUUCA